GAAAACACCAGUUUAUGAUACUAAACCGCGUUUAGAAAAUUGGAUUUCGUUGAUAGGGGAUCACAUUAUGUCGUAAAUACUUACCGUGCAACGCCAGCGUCGUGAGGACUACAAAGAGUUGAUGAAUUCUGCAAUAAAAAUUACCAUCUGGGAAUCAUAGGCAUGGCUCUCCAACUCAAAAUGGCCAAUACCUUCAAUUAGAUGAGUUUCGACACGUCCUGCUGCAGAUUUAAGCUUAUUGUUCAGUUGUUUCACGGUGGUGAAUCCGUCUUGUGUCCCCAUGAUGAAGAGCUUUGGUUUAGGCGACUUCAAUACGUUUUGGUGAUGUCGCCCGAAGAGGACUGAUGCCAAUAAACCAAAAGGGUAACCAAUACUUACAUAGCCCACAAUCUGUUCAACCUGAUCCACAGCAGAGCCUGCUA
rnacentral:misc_RNA from 1 species